GGAGCGGCACCGUAGGCGGGGAUCCCCUCGGGGGUGCGGAUGUGUACACGGAGAUGAGGGAGGCAUUCGAGGUCUUCGAUGAGGGAGGCGUUCGGGGAGCUUCACCGUCAAUUUCACCGCUUUCCUAUUAGUAGGUCAGACCAAAUGCGCUCAGAAUAAAUGCACCAAGCAAUGAAUUUUGCGAGUUCAAUGGAUUGCCAGAGGUGGCAAACUACUGGAAACAGGUUAUCAAGAUUAAUGACUACCAGACCGAAUGCUUAUGAGGCUACAAAAGGAGCUCAUGGAAUUUGCAUUCUCACAAAUGUGAUGAGUUCAAGAGUUUGGACUACAAGAAGAUUUAUGAGAGCAGGCAGAAACCUACAUUCAUUUUUGGGACACCUUUGGUAGUGUAUCUUGUGCAGUGAUCACGGCGGUGCUGAAUCCACAUUCUCAUGAGGUCAUUUAAACUUCGAAAUGGUAGUAUAUCUCAAUAGUUAGGCGCCUUUAUCUUAUUUACAGGACACCUUUGGAAAAGAAAAGAGGAACCAAUCUUCACAGAUUCUGUUCCGAGCUCUCCUCUUUUCAAUUCUGCCUCCUCUCCAAGUUUUAAUGACAGAUCAACCAAAAUUAAGUACAACUGGACCAUUCAAGUCUACCGAAAAUGAAGUACAACGAGAGAGCCUUUUAUAUUGUGUGUUAUUAUUUUAUGACUUGAGCAUGGAAAGAAGAUUGAGUUGUGAUUUUUGCUGUGAAAAUUAAUAAUGGUGUGCGUGCUACAGAGAAGAUAUAUUGAUGUUGGUUGGUGUAUACUCGAUGAUUUUUCGGUUUGUAAGCAUUUGAUUGUACAAUUUUGUAAUGGCACUUGCAUCAAUCUAAAAUUAUUGGUCUCUAGUGUAUACCAACUUGAGAGGUACUUUGCAAAACGGUGAGAGUUCUCUUGUUGUAAUGUAUUUCAACACUUGCAAAAAUUGUAAACUCUCUAGUUCUAGUAGUUGUAAUGUAUUUCAACACUUGCAAAAAUUGUAUACGGAGUUGUAUCUUGAUUU